GAUUAUACUAUGUUAUUGCUGAUAUUUGCAUGCGUUAUUUAUUGAGAGAUAUAUAUAUAUGCAUACUGGACAAGAAUAAAAGUCAUUCUUUUACGCUGGAUUCAUCAUUUUAUAUAUGAUUAUGCUGGAGUCAACAAACUACACUCAAAACAAGACUAAGGAAAGGAACACUAUCAAUAAGCAAUCAUACGGAAUUAAAAGUACACUCGACCCCUACUCGCCCGCC
rnacentral:lncRNA from 1 species